AUUGAACGCUGGCGGCAUGCCUUACACAUGCAAGUCGAACGGCAGCACGGAGCUUGCUCUGGUGGCGAGUGGCGAACGGGUGAGUAAUAUAUCGGAACGUACCCUAGAGUGGGGGAUAACGUAGCGAAAGUUACGCUAAUACCGCAUACGAUCUAAGGAUGAAAGUGGGGGAUCGCAAGACCUCAUGCUCGUGGAGCGGCCGAUAUCUGAUUAGCUAGUUGGUAGGGUAAAAGCCUACCAAGGCAUCGAUCAGUAGCUGGUCUGAGAGGACGACCAGCCACACUGGAACUGAGACACGGUCCAGACUCCUACGGGAGGCAGCAGUGGGGAAUUUUGGACAAUGGGCGAAAGCCUGAUCCAGCAAUGCCGCGUGAGUGAAGAAGGCCUUCGGGUUGUAAAGCUCUUUUGUCAGGGAAGAAACGGUGGGAGCUAAUAUCUCUUGCUAAUGACGGUACCUGAAGAAUAAGCACCGGCUAACUACGUGCCAGCAGCCGCGGUAAUACGUAGGGUGCAAGCGUUAAUCGGAAUUACUGGGCGUAAAGCGUGCGCAGGCGGUUUUGUAAGUCUGAUGUGAAAUCCCCGGGCUCAACCUGGGAAUUGCAUUGGAGACUGCAAGGCUAGAAUCUGGCAGAGGGGGGUAGAAUUCCACGUGUAGCAGUGAAAUGCGUAGAUAUGUGGAGGAACACCGAUGGCGAAGGCAGCCCCCUGGGUCAAGAUUGACGCUCAUGCACGAAAGCGUGGGGAGCAAACAGGAUUAGAUACCCUGGUAGUCCACGCCCUAAACGAUGUCUACUAGUUGUCGGGUCUUAAUUGACUUGGUAACGCAGCUAACGCGUGAAGUAGACCGCCUGGGGAGUACGGUCGCAAGAUUAAAACUCAAAGGAAUUGACGGGGACCCGCACAAGCGGUGGAUGAUGUGGAUUAAUUCGAUGCAACGCGAAAAACCUUACCUACCCUUGACAUGGCUGGAAUCCUUGAGAGAUCAGGGAGUGCUCGAAAGAGAACCAGUACACAGGUGCUGCAUGGCUGUCGUCAGCUCGUGUCGUGAGAUGUUGGGUUAAGUCCCGCAACGAGCGCAACCCUUGUCAUUAGUUGCUACGAAAGGGCACUCUAUGAGACUGCCGGUGACAAACCGGAGGAAGGUGGGGAUGACGUCAAGUCCUCAUGGCCCUUAUGGGUAGGGCUUCACACGUCAUACAAUGGUACAUACAGAGCGCCGCCAACCCGCGAGGGGGAGCUAAUCGCAGAAAGUGUAUCGUAGUCCGGAUUGUAGUCUGCAACUCGACUGCAUGAAGUUGGAAUCGCUAGUAAUCGCGGAUCAGCAUGUCGCGGUGAAUACGUUCCCGGGUCU
rnacentral:rRNA from 1 species